GUUCCUUUCAUCAUCCCAGUCAGGGACAGGAGGCAAUAGAAAAGACGCAAACAUGACAGCUCCGGAACUGUAAAUAUUUCAGCCAAAGAAGCACAAGGUGAUAUGGAAAAUAUAGAGCACAGAUUCACACGGUGAAUCUAUAAAUACCGAACAGGCUGAAAAACUUAACUUUUUGUUUAAGUUUAUAAUUGCUAACGAAUCCUUCUGAGCGGUAGGGCCUUUGCAGAACAACUUAAGCCACUCCAUUUUUCCUUUAAACCCAGCUGAGAACUAAUAUCACACUUUGCGGUUCACUUAGAUCACUCGGCGUUUGCUGAUUUUCUUCCAUUUGCGCGCCAGGCUGAUCUCUCCAAGGGAGACGCCACAGCACGUGACGUGUAUGCAUCUGUUUUCUAGUGCAACGCUUUGUCCCCUGUGUCGUCCGUCUAGAGGUGGCGAAAAAUAUUAACCAGGACAAGAUCCUGAGCUUGCAGCGUUAUGUGGAAGGUUACCACCAAAGCAUGGCGGCCGCGGAGUCCUCCCUGGUGCAGCCGGUGGAGACGAGAUCCCAGAAGGCCGAGACACAGGGCACGGAAAGACAGGUGAGAGACCCCAGGGACCUGGAACUGGUGGUGGUGCAUGAGCGUCGUCCUCCCUACAGCCGACACCUGCUGACAGGCACACUGCCCCUGGUCUACGGCAUCCUCCUGGGUUUCUUGGGCACCAUCCUAACUGGGGUCCCCAUUGUCCUCUUUGUACUGCACAUCUCCCGAAGUGAUAUGGAGAAACUGCUCAAAAAACCCUGCAAGCGCCAAAUCCGACCUUUUCUGCAAUCCUGAUGCCCUGAGCAGAUGCAUAUUCACCCCUCUGUGCAUCACAAGGCCCAACAUCUGUCAUCAGUACCAGCAAGUCAUCACUGAGACAGUUUCGAACACUAGGCUAGAGGGAGCCCGGCCUGUUAGGAACACCAAGCUGCCCAGAGGUGAUUUUCCCAGUCAAAAUUAAGCAUGUUAGUGUUCUACAGCACAUUCUUAUCCUGCUUCACAUUUCAAUUAUUAAAACAAAAUUUUGC
rnacentral:lncRNA from 1 species